rnacentral:rRNA from 1 species
GACAGCAGCCGCCGCGGUAAUACGGAGGGUGCAAGCGUUAAUCGGAAUUACUGGGCGUAAAGCGCACGCAGGCGGUUUGUUAAGUCAGAUGUGAAAUCCCCGAGCUUAACUUGGGAACUGCAUUUGAAACUGGCAAGCUAGAGUCUUGUAGAGGGGGGUAGAAUUCCAGGUGUAGCGGUGAAAUGCGUAGAGAUCUGGAGGAAUACCGGUGGCGAAGGCGGCCCCCUGGACAAAGACUGACGCUCAGGUGCGAAAGCGUGGGGAGCAAACAGGAUUAGAUACCCCAGUAGUCCCUGUCUCUUAUAC